rnacentral:misc_RNA from 1 species
AACGCACGAGACCUGCGGACCUGCGGAAGGAUCAUUAUCGAAUAUACUUGAUGGGCUGUGGCUGGCUCCUCGGAGCAAUGUGCACGCUUGUCUUGACUUUAUUCAUCCACCUGUGCACCCUUUGUAGUCUCUCGGGGUUGUUGAUAGCGGGGCUGACCGUCGAAGAAGGGGUUCUCUCUGGCCUCUUCACGGAUGUGAGGGGUGCUGCGCGAAAGUGCUGCUCCCUUCAAAGCGGCCUUG